rnacentral:rRNA from 1 species
GACGAACCGUCCAAACGUUAUUCGGAAUCACUGGGCUUACAGAGCUCGUAGGCGGUCUGGAAAGUUGGGUGUGAAAUCCCUCGGCCUAACCGAGGAACUGCGCUUGAAACUACCAGACUCGAGGGAGAUAGAGGAAAGCGGAACUGAUGGUGGAGCGGUGAAAUGCGUUGAUAUCAUCAGGAACACCGGUGGCGAAGGCGGCUUUCUGGGUCUUACCUGACGCUGAGGAACGAAAGCCAGGGGAGCGAACGGG